GGUAAAAACAAAGCUCUUUCCACUCAAACCGACAGCCUUGGGGGCGUGGCUUAUUUGAUGUGCUUUAUUAAUAAAGGCGAUCAAUUGAGCUUUUGUCUCUCCACCUACCCCGGAGGUGCCGGGCUUUGAGUCCUCGGGAGGGGGAAAAAAAUGGCAGGGCUGCAAGCUUCCUCCAAGUUUCCAGUAGCACCUGCCACCAAGCUGGCCGUCCUCCCCCACCGAAAAGACCCUGAGAUCUACACUCCCGGUUUGGACUCUGCAAGCCAGAGCGACAGACACACCCAGCUCGAGCGUCUUGCCCACUCCCACCGGGGGGUGUUUAUAAAACUGUGAUCCAUAACAUCAUUCAAUGGCCCCUGUAAGAAGACUCAAACAAGAUGUUUCAGACCUAUGAAGAAAAGCUUUCUUUCUUCCAAGGAACUGCUUAUUUCAAAUCAAAUAACCACCACAUUCCUGCCGUCUUCCUUUCGACCUUGAGGUAAGAAAAGCUGACCUGGGGCGCACCUGAGGACCGAACUCACUCCCAGAACAUCCCCGAGACAGG